rnacentral:rRNA from 2 species
AAACUAACCAGGAUUCCCCUAGUAACGGCGAGUGAAGCGGGAUGAGCUCAAGCUUAAAAUCUCUGUGCAAGUUUUGCAUGGCGAAUUGUAGUCUAUAGAGGCGCUGUCAGUGCAGCCGCUUGGGGUAAGUUCCUUGGAAGAGGACAGCAUCGAGGGUGAUACUCCCGUUUGUACCUGAGUGGUUUGCGCGUACGACACGUUUUCUUCGAGUCGCGUUGUUUGGGACUGCAGCGCAAAGUAGGUGGUAAAUUCCAUCUAAAGCUAAAUAUUGGUGCGAGACCGAUAGCGAACAAGUACCGUGAGGGAAAGAUGAAAAGAACUUUGAAAAGAGAGUUAAAGAGUACCUGAAACUGCUGAAAGGGAAGCGAAUCGUAUCCAGUGUCUAUAAUCCGUGGCAUAUUUCAUUGGCGACUGUGUGCGUGCGAUGCGUUGGAAGUGGCUUUUGUCGCUCCAUGUGUUGUUUCUGCGUGCGGUUGCUGGUGCCCUGUGUUGCGGUGGGACGUCAGAGUCAGUUCGUAUGCUGCGGGAAACGUCUGUUGAGGAGGUAGGUCGGGAGCUUGCUCUUGUCUGUUAUAUCUUGGCGGAUUGUGGUCGUGGUUGGGACUGAGGUGCCUACAACGUGCUUUGGAGUGUUCCGGGUUCUCACGUGGUGUGCUGUUUGUAUAGCUUGCUAUGCUUGUGGUGUUCACCGUUUGAUUGAGUCUGGUUUGUGCUUCUUGCCGUUCGGGACUUUGACGAAAUGGAGCGAUUCGG